rnacentral:rRNA from 1 species
UGCCAGCCGCCGCGGUAAUACGGAGGGUGCAAGCGUUAAUCGGAAUUACUGGGCGUAAAGCGCGCGUAGGCGGUUAUUUAAGUCAGAUGUGAAAGCCCCGGGCUCAACCUGGGAAUUGCCUCUGAUACUGGGUAACUAGAGUUUGGAAGAGGAGAGUAGAAUUUCAGGUGUAGCGGUGAAAUGCAUAGAGAUCUGAAGGAAUACCAGUGGCGAAGGCGGCUCUCUGGUCCAAAACUGACGCUGAGGUGCGAAAGCGUGGGUAGCAAACGGGAUUAGAUA